AAAGUCAAUGAUGAUAUUUUGAGUAGGAAUCUCAUUGAAAUAACCAUGAAAUCAAUUUUAAUCUCUCACUGAUAAAAACAUU